rnacentral:rRNA from 1 species
UACGAAGGGGGCUAGCGUUGUUCGGAAUUACUGGGCGUAAAGGGCGCGUAGGCGGUGUGUCAAGUCAGGCGUGAAAGCCCCGGGCUCAACCUGGGAACCGCGCUUGAGACUGGCACGCUCGAGUUUGGGAGAGGAUGGUGGAAUUCCCAGUGUAGAGGUGAAAUUCGUAGAUAUUGGGAAGAACACCGAUGGCGAAGGCAGCCAUCUGGACCGACACUGACGCUGAGGCGCGGAAAGCGUGGGGAGCAAACAGG